rnacentral:tRNA from 1 species
GCCGGUUUAGCUCAGCUGGUAGAGCAGCGGUUUUGUAAACCGAAGGUCGCGGGUU